CUGCUUCAACAGCAACAACACACACUCAAUUUUCCCACUCAGAUACUUAUAUGCUUCCAUUUCUUUUUAUGACCUGAUCAGUGUUCUCGAAAACAAGGGCCUAGAUGACACUGCGAGGACACAGCUGCACAGCAAGUACUGGAAACACUGAACAAUUGCCCCAGUCAGACUUACCAUAGUAAAAAGAAAAAUGUUCAUUUAUUUUCUGCAUUGAAAAAUAUCACGAAGUUGACACUGAGUUAAGUUUGAAUGAAGGUGGUGGAUCUUAUUAGGCAAUUAUAUCCGAUAAACACCUGCCAUUACAACUGGUCAUCAAUGGUCACUUUUGACACUAGAGUCCCAUGGGCCAACAGAUAAAAGCUGUCAAAAAGACCUCACGUAGAUAGGGUAGGAUUACAUGAGACACAUACAGGUAUCUACACUUUUCAACAGAAUACAGCACUUUUGAAAAGGAAGUGAAGGGUUUUAUAAAACAAGGCUUUUCAAUCCCGCCCCCACAAAUGGUUCCCCACCCCCGUCCGUACCUGGACCGACUGUGGGGGUCGUACGAGCUGCUCCUGGAUCUGCUCCUGCUGGAUGUCCUAAUAUUAAUCACAUGAGGGACCAUCAUCUUGUGGGUCAGGACAGGCUAUAUAAAAAAUCUAGACAUUUCUUUGCCCACCAAGGAAAAAACACAAUGAAAUCCAGUAGCUGUAUUUCAUUUGUAUAUCAAAAGUAUGUUGUAUUUUUUAAAAGCCAGGUUGGUUAUCAUUAGAAAGCUUAUGUUUUAUUCAAUUCUUCCAGGAGAUGCACAUGACGAAAGUCUCUGGGGAGGUUCGAACUGGGUGGGGAGGGAAGGGUCUGCACAGGUCAGACGUCUGUAAGUAAAAUGAAGUUGCAGCACUGGAAAAUGCCUGAGAGGCAAGGGGGUUUCAAGAACGUGGAAGAAAUAGAGACCUGGGGUCACCCCCGACAUGCUUCAUCUUGUGGCCCCUGUUAACAAAUCAGUCCUCCUAUCCCAAUCCCUACUCCGAGUCAAGAAAGAGGUGACUGCAGAGGUGAACUAAGGUUAAGGAAGAUGUACUGGUGGUGGAGGGAGGGGGAGCUGGCGGGCAGGGCCUCUUUUAAAUAUUUUUACUGCUUCUCUUUCCUCACUCUGAUAAGAUCACAUCCUGAGAAGAGCCAGUGAGAAUCUGACAGUUCUUAGAAACAACCGGACGAGACGACAGGCCUGUCUAGUAUUCAACAGUGACAGGAUUCUUCUCAACAGCUCCCCCACUCUGCCUGUGCACGCCCAGAAGAGCAGACAGGAUGGAGACCACACGGGAGGGCGGGGUUCCCAAGCUCACCUGUGACUUUUGUAACUGCGGUAGGAGCUGCUCCGGCUCCUUGUGCGGCCUCUGCUGUACCAUCCUCUGCUCCGACUUCUAGAGUAGCUUCGUGAUCUACAAUUAAGAGUGAAAAAGCACAAUUACAUUAACUCACCUUGCUGUUCAAGGCCUUACUAGUACAGUGGGAAGGGGAAAACACAACAAAAGGAAAAGUCUUUCAUGGAACUCUUCACUGUGGGUGUGACAGUGGUAGCUUAUGAAUAGUGUUUAAACUGAACAGAAUGGAAAAAACCAGAACAGGCUGCUAAAGGUGUGUUCACUGGAACCCUAUCUGUAAUAUCGGAAGAAGAAAUAAUCCAAAUCUCCAUCAAUGACAGAAUGGGGGAAAAAAUUAAUGCACAGAUAUACAGCAAAAUAUUCUAAUGUAGGAAAAUGACUGAACUACAGCUACAUACAUCAACAGAGACAUCUCCUGGAACUUAAGUGAAAAAUGCAUAAAUAGAACACAUUACGUAUGUAUGUAUAAAGAUCUUUUUGAAAACCUACAAAAACACUAUACAAAUAGAAACAUCUCUGGCAAAACUGAAGAAAAACAACAAAACUAUAACAAAAGUUCAGAAUAAUGUUCAACUUUAGAAGAAAGGAGGGUAGGGAUGUAUCAGGCUUUCUAAGCCUGUCUUCAUUUCGAAGAUGAAAGGCCAGCCACUCCAAAGGCAGCAAGCAGUAAGAAGCUAAGUGAGUGGCCAGCAUCAACCAGAGCUCAGAACUGCUGGAGUGUGAAUGAUAAGGCAGACGUUGAGCAGACAGGGAGCCAAAGUAGCUCCAUAGCUGAUUGCACCUGGCCUACGAACCUAGAGAGAACAGGCCGGGAUUCACCAGCUCUCCAGGCCUGCUGCGAGUCAGGGCAGGAGGAAGAAGAGCCCACAACACAAGCACGGAACGGUCUGAGAGGGAAGAGGAGGACCACCGGCAGGUGCCAGAAGACCGGAGAGGACUGAAAACAUGCCCUGGCACUCCGGCGAAGUACCUGAAAAUAGCCCGCUUAGGGAGAAGCAGGGAGGGACGGCACAGAAGGCAGCCUGCAAGCAACUGAAGAGUAAAUGGGGCACUGCUACUACAGAUGGCACGUACUGGUUCCUAUUUUGAAAGAAAUCUGGGUGGGAAAGGGAAGAUGAACAACUAGAAAGGGGAAAAAAGUUCUCGAAGACUCUUAUGUUUUAAGUUCAAGUGAUGAAGACCAAGCACAAUAAUAUAUUAAUGGAUAGGAGUAACUAAGAGACAGUGAGGUAAAACCGUGAACUAUUUAUAAAGAAAAUUUAAAAAGGAAUACAAAUUACUAACUUCAUGCCACCAUCACUAAUUUUUUAGUUUGUAAAAAUUCUCAUUCUCUGCACUGUCUAUGCUGACCAAAGUUACAGGCAACCUGAACCAAAAUACAUAAUUCUAAAGAUGAUCGGUCUUGCCAGGCCCCUCCCCCAAUCCUUGAAUAAAGAUCAACCAGAUGCAGGUCUUGGGCAGGUAACUGUGCUUCUCCGGCCCUCACCUUCCACUUGUGUAAAAUGGAGGGUUAAUGAUCUCUAAAUCCUACACAGUUCUAUAUGUUCAGAUUCCCUUCUACGGCAUCACAGAGAGGUGGGAGAACAACAUCACACCUUGAAAGAGAGAGACUUGCCAUCUACCACGGCAACUCAUCUCUGUUGCCAAAGAGCUUUAGUUGAUUAAGCUAAUACUUUUUUUUUAAGUUUAUUUAUUUUGAGAGAGACAGAGACAGCGUGAGUGGGGGAGGGGCAGAGAGAGGGAGAGAGAGAAUCCCGAGCAGGGUCCGCACUGUCAGCACAGAGCCCGAUGUGGGGCUCAAACUCCUAAACCGUGAGAUCGUGACCUGAACUGAAAGCAAGAGUCGGACGCUUAACGAACUGAGCCACCCAGGCGCCCUGAAAAGCUAAUAGUUUUUGACACUGAGCCCAAAUUUCUUCCCCUAAAAUCUCCACUUCCUAUGCUCUCGAUCUGCUCUCUGGGUCACACAGCACAAGACUUCCCCUCAUUCCCUUCCAGACAUUUGGAAAUAGUAAUCUUGUCCCUAAUUCUGAUGUUCUUCCAAGCUAAAAAUAACAGACUCUCCUUGGGAGGGAAAAAGGAAAGAGAAUAAAUACAGGGCUCACCGAUAAGACGAUGUGGAACUUCGUGAUCGACUUCUUGAGUGACUGUAGGAGACAGACCUUGUUCUGUGUCUUGAUUUGGUUUCAGAUUUACUUCGAGAUCUGCUUGGACUCCUGGACUGGCUAUCCCCAUCUCGACUAGGUGUCUGCUCAUCACUUGAACUCUCCUGAUUUCUUGGCCUCCGGUUUAAGCGUGCUGUCUUUCUUACUUCAUCAAAGAGAGACCCAGGCCGGACUUUAUUUUUGCUUUUGAUUUCUAUCCUCAAGCCUUGUGGCUUCAUCUCAGGUGCAGCAGUCAAUGCCUUCACUUCCACAGUGCUGGAUGUAGUAGCAGCCGGAGCGGCCACGUUCCCCACACCUUGCAGGGGCUUCCAUUUAUUAUCUAAGAGACCGAUCUGGCUCUUCUCAGCCACCUCUCUCUUCACGGUGCUUUCUGCAGCACUGGCAAUGCCAGUGGGGCCGCCGUCCUGUUUGCCCAUGUCCCCCAUUGUUUUGCUUUCAGACAUGCUGCUUUCCUGCUUCAGCUCCUCUCCCUCAGGACGCUCCGUGUGCACAUCCUGCUUUAAAACAAUGUUUAUAUCUGGGGUGUCGAGCCUUGAGUUUCCUAGAGGGGAUGCCUCCUUUGCUGGGGAACUCCUAUCAGGAGUGCAAAUCUCCAUGUUGUCAUCUGUCUGAAGCACAUCUUCCACUCCACUUGAGACAAUUUCUGCAAUAUGCUGAACGUUUGAGGGAGAAGCAGCUACAUUUUCAUCAGUAUUUAAAGCUCUAGGAGAAAUGCUGAGUUUACUAUCAUCUUUAGCAGGCUGAUCAAUAUCUGAUGGAAUCAUUACUGUAUUACAUUUACCUGAAAGGUUGCCCUCUUCACAGGGCUUCUCAGUUUGCACAAUACUUUCUUUCAAGGCUUCACUGUUUUCAGAAACUUGUUUUUUCUCUUUUGCCUCCUGAGUAACUUGCUUUUCACUAAUCUCCUCUUCCUCCUCCUCACCAAAUUCUAGUGGAGGCU